GGGUUGUGAGGUUAAGCGACUAAGCGUACACGGUGGAUGCCCUGGCAGUCAGAGGCGAUGAAGGACGUGCUAAUCUGCGAUAAGCGUCGGUAAGGUGAUAUGAACCGUUAUAACCGGCGAUUUCCGAAUGGGGAAACCCAGUGUGAUUCGUCACACUAUCAUUAACUGAAUCCAUAGGUUAAUGAGGCGAACCGGGGGAACUGAAACAUCUAAGUACCCCGAGGAAAAGAAAUCAACCGAGAUUCCCCCAGUAGCGGCGAGCGAACGGGGAGCAGCCCAGAGCCUGAAUCAGUGUGUGUGUUAGUGGAAGCGUCUGGAAAGGCGCGCGAUACAGGGUGACAGCCCCGUACACAAAAAUGCACAUGCUGUGAGCUCGAUGAGUAGGGCGGGACACGUGGUAUCCUGUCUGAAUAUGGGGGGACCAUCCUCCAAGGCUAAAUACUCCUGACUGACCGAUAGUGAACCAGUACCGUGAGGGAAAGGCGAAAAGAACCCCGGCGAGGGGAGUGAAAAAGAACCUGAAACCGUGUACGUACAAGCAGUGGGAGCACGCUUAGGCGUGUGACUGCGUACCUUUUGUAUAAUGGGUCAGCGACUUAUAUUCUGUAGCAAGGUUAACCGAAUAGGGGAGCCGAAGGGAAACCGAGUCUUAACUGGGCGUUAAGUUGCAGGGUAUAGACCCGAAACCCGGUGAUCUAGCCAUGGGCAGGUUGAAGGUUGGGUAACACUAACUGGAGGACCGAACCGACUAAUGUUGAAAAAUUAGCGGAUGACUUGUGGCUGGGGGUGAAAGGCCAA
rnacentral:rRNA from 1 species